rnacentral:rRNA from 1 species
GACGAACGCUGGCGGCGUGCUUAACACAUGCAAGUCGAACGGUGAUCUGCCAGCUUGCUGGUGGUGAUCAGUGGCGAACGGGUGAGUAACACGUGAGUAGCCUGCCCCUGACUCUGGAAUAACCCCGGGAAACCGGGGCUAAUACCGGAUAUGACAUUGGCCCGCAUGGGUUGGUGUGGAAAGUUUUUCGGUUGGGGAUGGGCUCGCGGCCUAUCAGCUUGUUGGUGAGGUAGUGGCUCACCAAGGCGACGACGGGUAGCCGGCCUGAGAGGGCGACCGGCCACACUGGGACUGAGACACGGCCCAGACUCCUACGGGAGGCAGCAGUGGGGAAUAUUGCACAAUGGGCGCAAGCCUGAUGCAGCGACGCCGCGUGAGGGAUGACGGCCUUCGGGUUGUAAACCUCUUUCAGCUCUGAAGAAGCGCGAGUGACGGUAGGAGCAGAAGAAGCACCGGCUAACUACGUGCCAGCCGCCGCAGUAACAC